GUAGGCUUAAGACAUUCCUCUUUGAUAAAGCUUAUAGUUAGGGCUGGAUCAGGUGAGUCCUGAACCAUCCCUUAGUUAUGAUGCUAUAGGCCUAGACUAUCGGGGGAUUUCCCAUGGUGCACUGAGCUCCUCUCUUCCUCUCUCUUUCUGCACUCAUUCAUGUCCCAUUAAUGCAUGUUACUAACUCCACUUCUUCCCCGGAGUUCUUGUGCUUUCUCGUCUCGCAGGUUCUCAUGGAUCCUGGUGGAGCCUCCUGCCAUGGUCCUGCUUGACUGCCAUUGCCAAUACUGUUGUUGCUGUGCACCUG